UGAUCACAUGUUCGGAAUUUUCAACUUCUGCUCGGUGCCACCUCUCAAACAACAAGUAAAACUUCACUAUUUCAUGUGCAGGAUUAAACGUAUCAAGCUUGCUCUGCGAGAGAUCUACAACAUCUCUAGGUGAGACAUUAGGACCAAGCCCAAAAUGGCCGAUAGCUUGUAUAAUACCAGCAGCACAUGUUUUGCUUGCAUGAAUUAUCUUAGGAUUAUCUUUGGCAUUUUCUG
rnacentral:misc_RNA from 1 species